CCUACGUGCGGCAGCAGUGGGGAAUAUUGGACAAUGGGCGAAAGCCUGAUCCAGCCAUGCCGCGUGUGUGAAGAAGGCCUUCGGGUUGUAAAGCACUUUCAGUGGGGAAGAAAGCCUUGGGGCUAAUACCCUCGAGGAAGGACAUCACCCACAGAAGAAGCACCGGCUAACUCCGUGCCAGCAGCCGCGGUAAUACGGAGGGUGCGAGCGUUAAUCGGAAUUACUGGGCGUAAAGCGCGCGUAGGCGGUCUGAUAAGCCGGUUGUGAAAGCCCCGGGCUCAACCUGGGAACGGCAUCCGGAACUGUCAGGCUAGAGUGCAGGAGAGGAAGGUAGAAUUCCCGGUGUAGCGGUGAAAUGCGUAGAGAUCGGGAGGAAUACCAGUGGCGAAGGCGGCCUUCUGGACUGACACUGACGCUGAGGUGCGAAAGCGUGGGUAGCAAACAGGAUUAGAUACCCGGGUAGUC
rnacentral:rRNA from 1 species